rnacentral:rRNA from 1 species
AUGAAAAUCAGUGGAUGGAAAGAAAAACUGCUAUCUGCGGGUGGAAAGAAAAUUUUGCUCAAAUCUAUUGUACAAGCUAUCCCAGCUUAUGCCAUGUCCGUCUUUAAAAUUCCUAAAAGAACUUGCAAGGGAAUCAUCGACGCGAUGUCGCAAUUUUGGUGGGGUGACGAGGACAACCAGAAGAGAAUGCAUUGGAUGGCGUGGUGGAAGAUGUGCGUCCCAAAAGACCAAGGAGGUAUGGGGUUUCGAGAUAUCCACUGCUUUAAUCUGGCAUUGUUAGCCAAACAAGCAUGGCGUCUACUUGAUAAUCCUGAGUCUUUAUGUGCUACUAUCUUGAGAGUUAAAUAUUUUCCGGACGACGAUUUAAUGAGUGCAAAUCUAAAAAAGGGCUUCUCCUUUACUUGGCAAAGUAUCAUGGCGGGAGUGAACUGUCUGAAAAACGGUUAUAUUUGGCGAGUUGGAAACGGACAUAAUAUUGAUAUUUGGAGAGAUGCAUGGAUUCCGAACUGUGUGAAUAGGAAAAUUAUUACUCAUAAAAGGGGACAACUACUAUCAAAGGUCUGUGAUCUUAUUGACCCAGUCACGAAUUCUUGGGAUGAAGAUUUGGUGAGAUAA